rnacentral:rRNA from 1 species
UAAGGAAUAUUGGUCAAUGGACGCAAGUCUGAACCAGCCAUGCCGCGUGAAGGAUUAAGGUCCUCUGGAUUGUAAACUUCUUUUAUCUGGGACGAAAAAAGGCGAUUCUUCGUCACUUGACGGUACCAGAUGAAUAAGCACCGGCUAACUCCGUGCCAGCAGCCGCGGUAAUACGGAGGGUGCAAGCGUUAUCCGGAUUCACUGGGUUUAAAGGGUGCGUAGGCGGGCAGGUAAGUCAGUAGUGAAAUCCUGGAGCUUAACUCCAGAACUGCCAUUGAUACUAUCUGUCUUGAAUAUUGUGGAGGUAAGCGGAAUAUGUCAUGUAGCGGUGAAAUGCUUAGAUAUGACAUAGAACACCUAUUGCGAAGGCAGCUUACUACGCAUAUAUUGACGCUGAGGCACGAAAGCGUGGGGAUCAAACAGGAUUAGAUACCCUGGUAGUCCACGCCCUAAACGAUGGAUACUCGACAUACGCGAUACACUGUGUGUGUCUGAGCGAAAGCAUUAAGUAUCCCCACCUGGGAAGUACGACCGCAAGGUUGAAACUCAAAUGAAUUGACGGGGUCAUAGCUGUUUCCUG